UACAUAGGGGGCAAGCGUUAUCCGGAAUGACUGGGCGUAAAGGGUGUGUAGGUGGUUUGGUAAGUUAGAAGUGAAAUACCUGUGCUUAACAUAGGUGCUGCUUCUAAGACUGCUAGACUUGAGUGCAGGAGAGGAGAAUGGAAUUCCUAGUGUAGCGGUGGAAUGCGUAGAUAUUAGGAGGAACACCAGUGGCGAAAGCGAUUCUCUGGACUGUAACUGACACUGAGGCACGAAAGCGUGGGGAGCAAACAGG
rnacentral:rRNA from 1 species